UACGAAGGUGGCAAGCGUUGUUCGGAUUUACUGGGCGUAAAGGGAGCGUAGGUGGUUAGGUAAGCCCUCCGGGAAAUCUUCAGGCUUAACCUGAAAAGGUCGGGGGGGACUGCCUAGCUAGAGGGCGGGAGAGGAGCGCGGAAUUCCCGGUGUAGCGGUGAAAUGCGUAGAGAUCGGGAGGAAGGCCGGUGGCGUAGACGGCUCUCUGGACCGUAACUGACGCUGAGACACGAAAGCGUGGGUAGCAAACAGG
rnacentral:rRNA from 1 species